AGAAUCAACGCUGGCGGCGUGCCUAACACAUGCAAGUCGAACGAGAAAGUGGAGCAAUCCAUGAGUAAAGUGGCGCACGGGUGAGUAACACGUGACUAACCUACCCUUGAGUGGGGGAUAAACCUAGAGAAAUCUGGGCUAAUACCGCAUAAUACCUUCGGGUCAAAGGAGCAAUUCGCUUAAGGAGGGGGUCGCGGCCGAUUAGUUAGUUGGCGGGGUAAUGGCCCACCAAGACUGUGAUCGGUAUCCGGCCUGAGAGGGCGCACGGACACACCUGGAACUGAAACACGGUCCAGACUCCUACGGGAGGCAGCAGUGGGAAUUUUGCGCAAUGGGGGAAACCCUGACGCAGCAACGCCGCGUGGAGGAUGAAGCCCCUUGGGGCGUAAACUCCUUUCGAUCGGGAAGAUAAUGACGGUACCGAGAGAAGAACGCCCGGACUAACUCGUGCCAGCAGCCGC
rnacentral:rRNA from 1 species